GGUGGCUCAGUGGUAGAGUGCUUGUCUGGCAUGCAUGAAGCCCUGGGUUCGAUUCCUCAGCACCA
rnacentral:tRNA from 1 species